rnacentral:rRNA from 1 species
AUGAUAUGCGGCUGGCUGGGUUACUUGGAGACUUGGAGUGGCAUACUGAAGGAAGGCCUGAAGCACGGUGAUGGUCACAUUCAGAAAGACGGUGAGAGUGGUCUGGUUGCUAAUUGCUACAUUGAAUUCCCAUUAUUUACUUUUCACAAUUAUCAAGACAUAAUCUCUCUGUUUGGGCAUCUGGAGUGUGGAUUAUUUCUUCUGAAUACUCUUCUAGAUAGAGAUGUAAUAUUCAUUCUGGCUUUGCUCACUCGAGAAUUAAGACCGGGGCGUCGUAUGGACAAAAUUUUCGCUGAACAUGUUUGA